rnacentral:lncRNA from 1 species
CUUUUUCUCUGUGCAUCCUCAGUGACGCGGGGCACAGCUCUGCCCGGGGGCCUACCAGAGCCCACCUGGACCCCACACUGGGUCAGCCCUGGUGCGGAGGAGGCCGCUGUAGGCGCGGCCAGGUCACAGUCGGCACCAGAAGUUUGGCAGAUCUCAGUGAGGCGUUAGUUUGCAUUUCCUUGUGACGGGUUUUGACUGGAAUGCCAGGCUUAACGUUGCUCAGAAGUUGCUUCUAUGAGGACGUCUCCCAGCAGCUGUCAGUGUUUCCAAUGAGUCAUCGCCAGCCCCUGCAAUGAGCCUCUCAGGCUGUCACUGUCCCUAAAAUGAAGCCGGGCUGCCAGAGGCGGUUGCAUCUCCCGGCACCAAGACCCCAGAGUCCCUGUGAGAAAGAGGACCAACGACGAUGGAAGCCUUUCUCUAAUGUGCGCACAGCCAGGCCGCUCCUCUGAAGGCGCUGAGCCGCCUCUAAUCACAGCGCCACACUGGCCACAGGUCGCUGGGUAUAGGAUGAACCCAGCUGUGAAUAGGAUGCAUUUCCUGGGAGGUUUCUGUGAAGUUACUGAACUGCCAAAAGAGAAUGCUUUAAAUAAUUCAGCACAAUCUUUGCAUAAAUCACACCAUUCAGCUGAGGUGCCUGUCAGCAGUCAAGUGAUUGAGAGCACAAACUGUCCCAAAGACACAGCCCCCUUCCCCCUGGAGACGCGCACAGCCUGCAGAAGAGAUGUCACCUGAUGCAGCGUUGUGGUUUAAAAACUCAUUAUGGGAAGCAUGAGGCUGGACCCAGGGGACCCUGGAGGUGAUGCAGGGGCUUUGGCAGCCUGGAAGCUGUUGGAGGAGGGGCCCUUGGUGGAAGUGGGGACAGUUUGAGCCUCCGGCCUCCAAUUCCCUCCCGCUGGCUUCUGGGCCGCACCUCCAGGAAUCCAGCUAGACCCGCAGGGCUCUGACUCCAGACUUUAUUAAAUGUUUCCUCUAACGGUUCUGGCCAUUCUGCUGGGCCAUUAAAGGCUACCCCAGGGCCUCA